rnacentral:rRNA from 1 species
CGGCGGACGGGUGAGUAACACGUGGGUAAUCUGCCUUAUACAGGGGGAUAACAGUUAGAAAUGACUGCUAAUACCGCAUAAGCGCACGGAAACGCAUGUUUCUGUGUGAAAAACUCCGGCAGUAUAAGAUGAGCCCGCGUCUGAUUAGCUGGUUGGUGGGGUAACGGCCUACCAAGGCGACGAUCAGUAGCCGGCCUGAGAGGGUGAACGGCCACAUUGGGACUGAGACACGGCCCAAACUCCUACGGGAGGCAGCAG